rnacentral:lncRNA from 1 species
AAACAACAAAUGCUGAGAGUUAACAGCGAGCAGUGAGGAGUGCUGUGCGGGUUGGCCCAGCUGGUUUGGUUUGGUUUGAUUGGGGAGGGGUUAGCCAGAUGAUAAACUCCCCUGGCUUUUUCACUAGGUUUGGCUUGCUGCUGUGUUCCCAAUAGCUAGCACAGUGCCUGACAUAUAGCAGAUGGGCAACAAAUUUGUUGAAAAAAAAUGAAUGGAAGGCAUCCUGGAGGUAAGUGUUUGAGAGCUGUUUAGGAAGAAAGAACCUGGUCAUGAAUUGGAUGCUGGGGAGAGUGAAGUACAUGCAUAGGUUUCUGACUGCGAAGAAACCAAGAGUCUAUGUUUCUGCACGAAUGUUUUAUUCAUGUGGGUGGGGCUCUGCUGAGCUGGCUUUUACAACUUAAAACCUUUUCACUGGGAGGACAAUUCCAAAGUCUAGCAGAAGCAAGCUUCAGGAAGAACAAUAGCUCCAACCC